rnacentral:sRNA from 1 species
CAUAAGCCAAUUGAGGGCAGAUGAAGUGAACAUGGCAGUCUAUUGCUCCUGCGGUUACAAUCAUCCCUUCACCAGCAAUAACCUCUGUAUUCAACUGAUUGCGGAAAAGCCAAAAGUCAUGAAAUUUAAGAGUCAAAAGUCUUGAAAUUUAAGGAUGUUUUUAUUGUUUGUUUGUCGGACUCACCCCAAUUACAAUGCCCUCUGAUACAUGCAUGAUAUCCGGGUUCCCUGCUUUCCCCAGGGAAACAAUUAAACCAUUUUUAAUUCCAAUAUCAGCCUUAAAAAUUCCUGAAUAAUCAAUGACUACAGCAUUUGUUAUAACAGUAUCCAAACAGGAAACUGCAUGAUAUCCACAAGCCUGACCCAUUCCAUCUCUUAG